rnacentral:rRNA from 1 species
UUGGACAAUGGGCGCAAGCCUGAUCCAGCAAUGCCGCGUGAGUGAAGAAGGCCUUCGGGUUGUAAAGCUCUUUCAGUUGGGAAGAAACGAUUACAACUAAUAAUUGUAAUUAAUGACGGUACCGACAGAAGAAGCACCGGCUAACUACGUGCCAGCAGCCGCGGUAAUAAGGGC